UUUAACAAAGAGAAGCAAAGCCGCGAGGUAGAGCAAAUCUCAAAAAAACAUCUCAGUUCAGACUGCAGGCUGCAACUCGCCUGCACGAAGUCGGAAUUGCUAGUAAUCGUAGGUCAGCAUACUACGGUGAAUACGUUCCCGGGCCUUGUACACACCGCCCGUCAAACCAUGAGAGUUGGCAACACCCGAAGUCGGUAGUCUAACCGCAAGGAGGACGCCGCCGAAGGUGGGGUUGAUGAUUAGGGUUAAGUCGUAACAAGGUAGC
rnacentral:rRNA from 1 species